GCUAAACUCUUCCUACCUAACAUGAUUAUUGCAGGUAUUGAUUGUAAACAGGUUGAUUUAAAUAUCUCCUACUUUAUUAGGUCUCAAUGUUUUGGUUGUAAAAAUUAAAUUAAAAUUUAAGUCAACCCUGCCCUCUGCAUCAGCCCCUUAGAUUAUAGAAUUCAGAGUAAGUCUCUUUUAGUACGUCAUAGCCCUAUCCAAAGUCACAGUGACAAUAAGGAUACAUGUAUAUGAUACUUAUGCUUAAGUUGUUGAAUGUGACUUAUUUUUCUUAGAAUCAAAGACAUAGCUGGGUUUAGCUUUGUGAUCUAUGACUGCACUCUAUUUUUUUUGCAGGAGUGAGCUGUUACUCCAGGCAUCUUGAUUACAAGCGAUUUAGGGAGAUAGCAGAUGAAAAUGGUGCAUACGUACUAGCAGAUAUGGCUCAUGUGAGUGGGCUUGUAGCAACAGGAGUUGCCCCAAGUCCUUUUGAAUAUUGUGACAUUGUAACUACCACAACACACAAAACUCUGAGAGGACCAAGGUCAGGGAUGAUUUUCUUCAGGAGAGGUAUGGCCAAGGCUUUAACACAUGAAGAUGUUUUUGGCAACAUUAUGUUUUUCACAAUGCAAGUAUUUGUACAAUAUAUAAAAUCGUAAAAAAUAAGAAAAAGAUUUGUUUUGUUUGUGACAUUGAAAGUUUGGAAUUUCCUUAUUCAGGAGUCAGAAAAUUGAAAAAUGGAAAAGAGGAGAAGUAUGAUUUGGAGAGGAGAAUCAAUGAGGCGGUGUUCCCGGGACUACAGGGAGGCCCCCAUAACCACCAGAUAGCAGGCAAGUGCUUAGAGUUGGGGCUAAUGGACUACAGGCAGCCCCCUCAUCUCCUAUACUGCACUGAUGAAAUGAGUUUCCUCAUUGAAGAAAUCUCUCACGAGUCACUGUGAGGACUCUUGUAUUGAUUAAAAAAAUUUACAUGAUUAUCUCCAACAUAAAUUUAUAGUUAUCAUUUCAAUUUUAAUAGCAUGAAAUGAAAAAAAAAUUAGGAUACCAUGUUUAGGUUUUAGAAAUUUAUUUAUUUAUAGCCUAUGACAUGUGUGUACUUUGCAGGUGUUGCUGUUGCCCUACAACAAGCUGCCAGACCAGAAUUCAAAUCUUACCAACAGCAGGUAGUCAAAAAUGCCCAGGCCAUGUGCAAAGCCUUCAUGGAAAAAGGAUAUACUGUAGUGACAGGUAUGAUAAGAACCAUCUCAUGCUAAUUCAUAGCCUAAUUAUAAUCCUAAAGAGUUUUGCUCAAUUUUUAAGUUGCUCUAAUGUUGUUGUUAUAAAAUUGUGACUUACUAUUUUAGAUUAGCUCUGUUCUUAAAUUCACUAAAUGACAAUGAUAGCUUACAGAACUAAACUAAAUUAAGGCAAAAAUAUAAGUACAGAGGACAGAAAGAAUCACUUUUUCUGUUUUCGUCUUGUUCACAGGGGGAACAGAAAACCAUCUGAUCCUGAUUGAUCUGCGACCCAAUGGUAUGGAUGGUGCUCGAGCCGAGCGAGUAUUGGAGUGUGUCAGCAUAGCUUUAAAUAAAAACACUUGUCCAGGAGAUAAGAGUGCGCUGAAACCAAGUGGAUUGAGAAUAGGAGCACCUGCUCUAACCUCUAGGGACUUUAAGGAAAAGGAUUUUGAACAAGUUGUGGAGUUUAUUCAUAAAGGUAUCAUAUUUUUAGCAAACUUAAAGUGACAACCGUUUUUCAAGUAAAUCAUUUAUUUAUAACCAUAUCCCCCAAAGGACAUGAUUAUUUUAGAAAAAAUUGUAAAAAUUGAUGCAAUCUUUAAUAAUCUUAUUUUACAAAUGGAAAUAAAUUGCCAUCAGCAACUCUAUUUCAUGAAGAUCUUUCUCGUAGAUAUAAUUUGAAAUUGUGUUGUUGUCCUUAAAAGGAAGCAAUUUCUGAGCUUGCCACCAAACCUGGGAAUGGUAUUGUUUAAAUCAGGAUGUGACUAAACACUGUUUUUACAAUAAUAUGUCAUGGAUUUUCAGGUCUUGUAAUUACCAAAGAGGCGAUGCAGGACUGUGGACCACUGCUGAAGGACUUCAAGGCAAAACUGGAUGCAGAUCAGACAAUCAAAGCCAAAAUUGACAAUCUGCGCUCAGAUGUUGAAAACUUUGCUCUGAAGUUUCCCAUGCCUGGAAUUGACAACUGGUAAUGGAAAAAUACAGCAUAAUGAAGCGGAAGGAAGCCAAAGGAUCCAUUACAGCAGUAUUAACUGUUUCAUGUAAAAAGUCAAUUGUAGACAAGUGAAAAGAAGUACAGAUUCAUGUGGUGUACAUCCAUGUGAAAUAGUUUGCUGUACUUUUCUCAAAUUUACAAUGAUGAACUGUUAAAUAUGUUCUGUUCAAGAUGUUUUCUGUUAUUUAUUAUGUCAAUACAUGUAUGAAAAUCAUGUAACUACUCAAAAAGUGUCAUUGCAGACUUGUGGAUUAAAUUGUUUCUUAACU
rnacentral:misc_RNA from 1 species